rnacentral:lncRNA from 1 species
CCAACACAACAGCAUUAUAAAAUACACAAACUCGAACAAAACAUCAAAGAAAAUACAUUCCGGCAAUUUUGUUUUCCAGAAAAGAGCAAAGAAAGUGAAACCAAAUUCGCUAGAUUUCGAAAACAACUAAACUUAAAACAAAAACAAAAACAAUACGCUGGACAAAAAAAUCACGUAGAUGAAAAAUACCAUCAUGAAUGCAACGUGCUGAGAAUUAUGUUAUGAAAUUGCUCGUCGUUUUGACAAACCUGGAAGAUAGCAAAA